CAGCCGCCGCGGUAAUACGGAGGGGGCUAGCGUUGUUCGGAAUUACUGGGCGUAAAGCGCACGUAGGCGGCUUUGCAAGUCAGAGGUGAAAGCCCGGGGCUCAACCCCGGAAUUGCCUUUGAGACUGCAGGGCUAGCAGGUGAGAGAGGUGAGUGGAAUUCCGAGUGUAGAGGUGAAAUUCGUAGAUAUUCGGAAGAACACCAGUGGCGAAGGCGGCUCACUGGCUCAUACUGGACGCUGAGGUGCGAAAGCGUGGGGAGCAAACAGGAUUAGAUACCCGCGUAGUCCCUGUCUCUUAUAA
rnacentral:rRNA from 1 species